GGGGUUCUAGCUCAUCGGUAGAGCGCUCGCUUAGCACCGAUGUCGGGUUGUGACAUGCGAGAGGUACAGGAUUCGACUCCCUGGUACUCCA